rnacentral:tRNA from 8 species
CUCCUCAGGGUGUCUGCGGUGCCCCCAGGCUGAGGUAGUAGGUUGUAUAGUUUAGAAUAACAUCACUGGAGAUAACUGUACAACCUCCUAGCUUUCCCUGAGAUACACACGCUCCCGCCUCAACUGA